AUUCAGUCGUAGCUUCAACUUUCACUUUCCAAAAUGAGCAAGAAUAUUGGCUUUAGAUGAGCUCGUCGUGGCACCACAAGACAAACAAGGCUUUCGAGCUUCACACUCAUUUGGUCCACCCUCCUAAUAAUUUACUUGAUCAGUUUACCAUCUUACCUUCCCUUGUAGCAAAUUUACUUCGUCAAAGAGGUUUAGUGAGUGGGAGCUUUGAGGGUUGAUGGGGUUUAGGAUUUCUUGAAUUUUUUUCAAGAUUUUUUUUGUAAUUAUGUCUUUGCCAGUACCAACU
rnacentral:misc_RNA from 1 species